AUGCACGCUAGCUACAGGCUUAACCCAUGCAAGUCGAGGGGCAGCAUGAUUGAAGCUUGCUUCAAUCGAUGGCGACCGGCGCACGGGUGAGUAACACGUAUCCAACCUGCCGAUAACUCGGGGAUAGCCUUUCGAAAGAAAGAUUAAUACCCGAUAGUAUAGUAUUUCCGCAUGGUUUCACUAUUAAAGAACUUCGGUUAUCGAUGGGGAUGCGUUCCAUUAGAUAGUUGGCGGGGUAACGGCCCACCAAGUCAACGAUGGAUAGGGGUUCUGAGAGGAAGGUCCCCCACAUUGGAACUGAGACACGGUCCAAACUCCUACGGGAGGCAGCAGUGAGGAAUAUUGGUCAAUGGACGAGAGUCUGAACCAGCCAAGUAGCGUGAAGGAUGACUGCCCUAUGGGUUGUAAACUUCUUUUAUACGGGAAUAAAGUGGAGUAUGCAUACUCCUUUGUAUGUACCGUAUGAAUAAGGAUCGGCUAACUCCGUG
rnacentral:rRNA from 1 species